rnacentral:rRNA from 1 species
GACGAACGCUGGCGGCGUGCUUAACACAUGCAAGUCGAACGGAAAGGCCCUGCUUUUGUGGGGUGCUCGAGUGGCGAACGGGUGAGUAACACGUGAGUAACCUGCCCUUGACUUUGGGAUAACUUCAGGAAACUGGGGCUAAUACCGGAUAGGAGCUCCUGCUGCAUGGUGGGGGUUGGAAAGUUUCGGCGGUUGGGGAUGGACUCGCGGCUUAUCAGCUUGUUGGUGGGGUAGUGGCUUACCAAGGCUUUGACGGGUAGCCGGCCUGAGAGGGUGACCGGCGACAUUGGGACUGAGAUACGGCCCAGACUCCUACGGGAGGCAGCAGUGGGGAAUAUUGCACAAUGGGCGGAAGCCUGAUGCAGCAACGCCGCGUGCGGGAUGACGGCCUUCGGGUUGUAAACCGCUUUCGCCUGUGACGGAGCGUGAGUGACGGUAAUGGGUAAAGAAGCACCGGCUAACUACGUG